CGUAGGGGCGAGCGUUAUCCGGAAUUAUUGGGCGUAAAGGGUUCGCAGGUGGUCUGUUAAGUCAGAUGUGAAAGGCAGUGGCUCAACCAUUGCAAGCAUUUGAAACUGGCAGACUUGAGUACAGGAGAGGAAAGCGGAAUUCCUAGUGUAGCGGUGAAAUGCGUAGAUAUUAGGAGGAACACCAGUGGCGAAGGCGGCUUUCUGGACUGUAACUGACACUGAGGCAUGAAAGCGUGGGGAGCAAACAGGAUUAGAUA
rnacentral:rRNA from 1 species